rnacentral:tRNA from 1 species
GCGCCUGUAGCUCAGGUGGAUAGAGCAACGGUUUCCUAAACCGUGGGUCGCGUGUUCGAGUCACGCCAGGCGCACCA